AGUACAUUUUUAAAACAAGCACCAUAGCAUUUGUCUACAAAAUUAAGACGCUUCCCCUUUUUAUGAUUUAAAAUUCCAAAUUAAAGCAAAAAGGAAGAAAAAAAUUUGACUAAUCACGUGAAAACUACAUAACCAAAACAAACAAAUAACUCUUGUACCACUCCCCUAAGUUGGUUCAUGUCUGGUUUUGUGUCCCCACCAAAGUGCCGGUAUCGGUUACACGCGAAAGCCGAGCAAUGGCAAAGGAAAUGUUCCAACGUCUCAUCAUCUUCUCCGCAUGCCCUACACAUGCUAUCACUUGCCGCACCCAAUUUACAUAAUAUUAGCCACGUCUUCUCACGAUCUGGAUCGCCGCAUAGGAUUUUCGCCGCCCUACCGACCGUUUCGCUGUUCCACAAUGUUGCAUGCGCAUUCGUCGCACACUCCCUUAACUCGGACUGCGUCGACGCCAAAGGCUUCGGGUUAACCAAGUUUGUCCUCUAGCCUUUACCGCCAAAUCGUCUGCUCUUUCAUUUUCCCUUAAUCCAUUUUGGCCCGGCAACCAAACGAUGCGGAUUUUGCCAUCCUCAGAGAACGCGUUAAUCUCCUACUUACACUGCAAGACUGUUCUUGACCUUACCGUCCUGGUUGUUAUUGCCCUUAUGGCAAUUUUACUGUCGGUAAAGAUGUCACACUCGACAUCCUCGCGUUAAUACCACACCACUUCGCGCAUUCCCUGAUCGUCCGGAUCUCCGCCUGCAGGACCGUAUUAUGGUCAGGCAGUCUAAAACAGAUCUUAGUCCCUGGGUUCUCAAUGUAAACCCCAGGCCCAUUCUGUCCUUUAACUUUGAUCCAUCCAUGUAACAUGAUCUUCCAGAUGGCAAUACAAGGGUUCUGUCAGUUGAAGACUGUGCCACUGGCAGCAGUGCCACGCACUCGACCUCAAGUGUCGUCUCAGGUAUCCGAUCGGAAACUUCUUCCUUUCAUUCCAGGUUUCCUAUCGUCGCCUUGAUUAUACCGCGAUGGUAUGAGCUUCACCCAUCCUCAUCACCUUAUGUCUCAUAGCCGCAGUGGCUGCCUCACAUUUAAUCUGUAAGUCUAUGGGUCGGAUAUCUAGAAUAGUCUCCAGUGCCGUAGUGGGCGUGGUCCUCAUAGCUCCGUCUAUGUCAAGACAACAUGUUCUCUGAACCUGUUGUAUGGUCCUUAUGUUGCACUUUUUCUCCAUAGCAGUCCACCAAACUACUGAGGCGUAAGUAAGUAUUGGUCUAAUCACGCUCCUGUAGAGCCAGUGGACUAUCCUCGGAUUCAGGCCCCAUUUCGAAAGCCGUAGCUAUAAUACUUCUAAGUUUGUAAUACUAAUAAGUUUUUUGUUUUUACUAACAUAUUUAAAUGCAAUCAAUUUAAUUUUAUUGCCGCAAUUAAUCGACUGAAGUAGAACAAGUACAAGCGUGUUAAGCUUGGCCGGGCCGAAUCUUGGGCAUCCACCACCAGGAUUUUGCUAUAAAUUUAUAUUUUACAUACCAAACUACAGUCAAAUCAGCAAAAAUUAAAAUUCUUGGAACUAUAAAACGAUAAUCGUGAGAUCGGUUUACAUGGGAGCUAUAUCAGGUAAAAGACUGAUUUGGACCGUAUUUGGCACAGUUAUUGGAAGUCGUAACAAAACACCACAAAUUUCAGCCAUAUCGGACAAAAACUAUGGCUUGUAAGGCCUCAAGAAGUUAAAUCGGGAGAUCGGUUUAUAUGGUAGCUACUAGCUGAACCGGGCCCGCUUCACUGCACCUUUUUUUAACUUUAUAUGGAACAAAAUUAUCCAUUGAAUAUUUAUUUUCGACAAUUCAAGAACUUAAGUGAGUACCACACAAUGAAAAUAGUAAAUGUAUAUCGCUUGACUAACAGUAGAACAAUAUAAAUGACUAUCAAAUCCCAUAUGAUCUUUGUUGGUCUAUGAAUUCGCUCGAAGUGUUUUAGUUUGGAUGUUAGAUGUAUUCCACUCUUAAAAGAUUUUAUUUGAGCCCGCUAUUAUCACGAUGUCCGAUUUGAGGGUAUUUUUUUGGGGGGUGAGGUGGUCCCCCAUGCACUUAGCUCUGAAAACAAAUAUAUAAGCAUCGUGCUCUAUUUAAACCUCAUGUUGCCAUAGGAUUAAGGGAAGUUUAUGGGAUGAGACGUCUCCAAACACUUAGUCGAAAAAUUGGUUAUCAAUUUCGUUUUCUAAUAUCCAGUAUCUUAUAUUUGAGACACAUAUGGCCAUGGUCGGUAAAUUUUUAAUCUUUUGGGAGGGUGUUGUGGGGAAGGGGCGGUGCCCCAAAUACAUGGUCCCACAUUUGGAUAUCAGAUUCGUAUUCUACUCCCAAAUACGUUUGUUUUAGCCCCAUAUUGCGAUGGUCAUUAAAUAAUUGCUGUUUGAUUGUGUUUUGGGAAAGGGGUAAAACCCCAGAAAAUUGGUCCCGAAAGUGAGUAUCAAUUUCGUGCUCUACUCCCCAAUACCUUUCAAUAGAGCCCCACAUUGGUCGGUAUAUAUGUCUGAUUUAGAGGGCGGAGUGGUCCGCCAAACACUUAGCCUAGAAAAUAAAUCAGCAACGUGCUCUUCUUUCAUAUAUCAUUAUGCUUUUCUUUUAAAUAUCAUUUAUUUGAACCCCAUAUUGCCAUUGGCCUCAAAAUUGGCUAUCAUAGUCGUUUUCUAAUCUCAAAUACUUUUCCUUCCUGUCCGGUUUGGGGUAUAGGCCCUAAAAACUUUAAGAUCCAAAUUGUCAUGGUGAGCAAAUGAGUCCUAUUUGCGGAUUGUUAUGGGGGGGACGUCCCUUAGAUAGCUGGUCCCGAAUGUUUAAAUCAUAUUCAUGGUCUACUUCCAAAUACUUUUCAUUUGAGCCCCAUAUUUCCAUAGUCGGCAAACAUGUCCGGUUUGGAGGGUGUUUUGGGGGAUGGGGUGGCUCUGAAAAUAUAUCUCAGAUUCGUGUUAUACUAUAAAAUACCUCUUAUUUAAGCCCCAUAUUGCAAUGGUCAGCAAAUACGUCCUAUUUGGGUGGUGUUAUGGGGGUGGGGUGGCCCCAUAGACACUUUUCCCAAAUGUUUAUAUCAGAUUCGUGCUUUACUCCCAAAGACCUUUCAUUUGCGACCCAUAUUGUUAUGGUCGUAAAUUUGUCGUCUUGGGGGGUGUCCAACCCUGGUGGGGUGGCCCCAUAGACACUUUUCCCAAAUGUUUAUAUCAGAUUCG